rnacentral:misc_RNA from 1 species
GAUGAAGAACGCAGCGAAAUGCGAUAAGUAAUGCGAAUUGCAGAAUUUCCGUGAGUCAUCGAAUCUUUGAACGCACAUUGCGCCCCUUGGUAUUCCGAGGGGCAUGCCUGUUCGAGCGUCAUUACACCACUCAAGCACUGCUUGGUAUUGGGCAUCGUCCGUCGAAAGGCGGGCGUGCCUCGAAGACCUCGGCGGGGUUUCUCCAACUUCGGGCGUAGUAGAGUUAAAUCGAACGUCUUAUAAGCUUGGUGGGACUCCAUUGCCGUUAAACCUUUUAUUUUCUAGGUUGACCUCGGAUCAGGUAGGGAUACCCGCUGAACUUAAGCAUAUCAAUAAGCGGAGGA